rnacentral:rRNA from 1 species
UACGCCGGCGGCGGCCUAACCAUGCAAGUCGAGCGAUGAAAUCCCUUCGGGGAUGGAUUAGCGGCGGCACGCGGUGAGGUAACACGAUGGAGCAACCUGCCUCAAAGUGGGGGAUAGCCUCCCGAAAGGGAGAUUAAUACCGCAUAAUAUUAAAUCUUCACAUGAAGAACUAAUUAAAGGAGCAAUCCGCUUUGAGAUGGGCCCGCGGCGCAUUACCUAGUUGGUGAGGUAAUGGCUCACCAAGGCGACCAUGCGUAGCCGACCUGAGAGGGUGAUCGGCCACAUUGGAACUGAGACACGGUCCAGACUCCUACGGGAGGCAGCAGUGGGGAAUAUUGCACAAUGGGGGAAACCCUGAUGCAGCAACGCCGCGUGAGUGAUGAAGGUCUUCGGAUUGUAAAGCUCUGUCUUUUGGGACGAUAAUGACGGUACCAAAGGAGGAAGCCACGGCUAACUUACGUGCCAGCAGCCGCGGUAAUACGUAGGUGGAGAGCGUUGUCCGGAUUUACUGGGCGGUAAAGGGUGCCAAGGCGGAUAUUUAAGUGGGAUGUGAAAUACCCGGGGCUCAACUUGGGUGCUGCAUUCCAAACUGGAUAUCUAGAGUGCGGGAGAGGAGAGUGGAAUUCCUAGUGUAGCGGUGAAAUGCGUAGAGAUUAGGAAGAACACCAGUGGAGAAGGCGACUCUCUGGACCGUAACUGACGCUGAGGCACGAAAGCGUGGGGAGCAAACAGGAUUAGAUACCCGUGGUAGUCCACGCCGUAAACGAUGAAUACUAGGUGUAGGAGGUAUCGACCCCUUCUGUGCCGCAGUUAACACAAUAAGUAUUCCGCCUGGGGAGUACGGUCGCAAGAUUAAAACUCAAAGGAAUUGACGGGGGCCCGCACAAGCAGCGGAGCAUGUGGUUUAAUUAGAAGCAACGCCAAAGAACCUUACCUAGACUUGACAUACCCUGAAUUACCGGUAAUGCGGGAAGCCCUUCGGGGCAGGGAUAAAGGUGGGGGCAUGGUUGUCCUCACCUCGGGCCGGGAAAAGUUAAGGUUAAGUCCUGCAACAACCCCAACCCCUAUUAUUAGUUGCUACCAUUAACUUGAGCACUCCAGUAAGAAUGCCUGGGUUAACCAGGAGGAAGGCGGGGAUAAAGUCAAAUUCAUCAUGCCCCUUAUGUCUGGGAAGGGGUACACACAGUGCUACAAUGGGCGGUACAAAAAGAUGCAAACUCGCGAGAGUGAGCCAAACUUUAAAACCGCCCCCAGUUCGGAUUGUAGGCUGAAACUCGCCUACAUGAAGCCGGAGUUGCUAGUAAUCGCGAAUCAGCAUGUCGCGGUGAAUACGUUCCCGGGCCUUGUACACACCGCCCGUCACACCAUGAGAGCUGGCAACACCCGAAGUCCGUGAGGUAACCGUAAGGAGCCAGCCGGCCGAAGGGGGUGUUU